GAAAGACAGAAAGAGAGAGUAAGGAAGAGAAAGAGAAAGACAGAAAGAGAGAGUAAGGAGUGGAGAAAGAGAGUAAGGAGUGGAGAAAGACAGAAAGAGAGAGUAAGGAGAGGAGAAAGAGAGAGUAAGGAGUGGAGAAAGACAGAAAGAGAGAGUAAGGAGUGGAGAAAGACAGAGAGAGAGAGUAAGGAAAAGAGAAAGAAAGACAGAGAGAGUAAGGAGUGGAGAAAGACAGAAAGAGAGAGUAAGGAGAGGAGAAAGAGAGAGUAAGGAGUGGAGAAAGACAGAAAGAGAGAGUAAGGAGUGGAGAAAGACAGAAAGAGAGAGUAAGGAGUGGAGAAAGACAGAAAGAGAGAGUAAGGAGUGGAGAAAGACAGAAAGAGA
ensembl:lncRNA